UUAAUAUCAAAAAACUUAUGUGCUGGAUAGCAAAUUAUCCUAACGAAUUUUAACUAUUUCAAGAUUUUGGAGCUUCAUAUUUUCUGGAAAAUCCCCUAUUAGAGUAGAAGCAAGCUUCAGUGAUUCCCCCAAUUUUCCGGGCAGGAAACUCUAUAAUCGAACGCUUUCCAGUUGUUCGGCCCAAAAAAAAAAAAUCAGUUGUGAUUGAGGAAGGAGUGGAUGCUUAACGCAGCCUCAUUAUCUGUGAGGCCACUUCCAGGUGACUUCCUUCCGGAAGAUGAUGAGUCUGCUGCGAAGCCUCUGCGCGUCGAAAUUGGCAAAGCAACUGAAGACAGCGGAAAGGUAAUCUUCAUAUUCACUUUCAUAUCUCUCCACUCAAAUACCCAUGCGCUCGCUUCAUUCUAACUGUCAAAAAUGGUAUUUUGUUGUUCUUUAUUGAUGUUCAUAUUGCACCUACUUGUGCCUAAUUUAGUAAUUUUAUUUUUACAUUUUUCUUAUUCUUCACUGAUUGUAUGCGAUUCUCUAUCUGCAGUCUGUUCUGUCAAAAUUAACCGAGGCUUUGCUUGGAUGAUGGUUUUGUAUUGUGUUGUUCCACAGAUAACCAUGUUUUGGAAGAUUGUGUUGUAGAUUGUAUUGUUUUUGGUAGUUAAAUUCCAUGGUUAUAGAACAACGAAAACUCAUAGAUUCUUUAACCUCCAAAUUAGUGGUUUUGCAUUCUUGUAAAAAUUUUGUUUAUUCUUUUGCCCUAGUAUAUUUUAUAUAUGACCAAUUUAUACUUACAAUAAUUUUUUAUUUUAAUUAAGCAAUCCAACCUCUCCAACCUAAUAAUCAUUCUUAUUCAUAUAUCAUUUUGUGAAUGUCAUGUUAUUAUCAAGGAUUUAGUAAUAUUUAGUAAUAUUAAAUAUGAUAUUUUAAAAUAAUUGAACAGCUCUUCACAUUGUUGUAAAUUGGAAUAAAUAGAAACUGUGUAUUAAAUUAUUAAAAGUGAGGAAUUAGUGAUCAAAUUGCAUAUAAAAAUAAAUGAGGGUAUUUAGGUAACUUAAUUAUUAUUUAGAACAAUACUGUACAAUCAAACCAAACAAGUAAUGAUUAUAGAACCAUGAUAAACCGUACAAUCUUUGCAAACAUUGGACAGUUCAAUACAUUAUAAAAACAUACAAUGAAAAUAAUACAAUGAAAACCUAUACAUUAAUUAAAUCAUGGGUAAUCAUCAUCCAAACAGGGCCUGAGAGAAGUGGAAUGUGUAUGAAACUGUGCUUAGUUGGAGUAUGAGAUUUUCUGAAAUUGAGGCUAAAUUUUGAUCUUCUUAGAUUAGGAGGAUACAUGUUACAGCAGCGCUCCUAUCCCUUUUGUUAAAUUGCUGCAAUAUAUUUUAUAUGUCACUAAUUCUCUCCGUUGUUCAAGUCUCAAUCACACAAGUGGACAGUGUAUAUACGUGGGGCAACUUAUGAAGAUCUGGGAGUGGUGAUAAAACGAGUUGUACUCCAAUUGCAUCCUAGUUUCAAUAAUCCUAUAAGAGUGGUAGAAUCACCUCCUUUUGAGUUGUUGAAAUGUGACUGGGGUGAAUUCAAAAUUGUCAUCACUCUUGUCUUCUGUAGGAUGUCUACGAUGAGCAGUUGGACUUACUUCCUUAAUUUGCUUGACGAGGCAGAUUCGUUACCACUAGUGGUUCUCCUUUAGGUAUCACCAUUUGAAGUUGUACCCUGAAGAUGAAACCGAAUCAUCCUGCAGUGGUUGUGCCUCGGUUGCCUGCUGGAUUUACUUUGCCUGCUCCAAGUAAAUUUCUUGCUACACUCUUUGUUAUGUGGACUUAUGCCCCAGUAAGUGAAGGUGCAUGUCCGAAGAUAGAUUGAAGUGAAGGAGGGCCAGCCAGGGUCAGUGCCCCCUCCCCACACACAUGCACACACAAAAAAAAGUAAAACUCUGUAAUACUUUCCUUUUGAUGUUACUGAUCCUAAAUGCUUAAUAUCAAGACCUUCUAGUGUUGCCUCCGUCUCCCAGAGAAGGGGUGGGGGGGGGGGGGGGGAGGGAAGA